GGGGUAAAUUAAUAAUUUUAAGGUUAAUAAAAAAAAUUUUAAUAUUAAAAAGAAAAAAUGGGGGUUUAAGUAUUUUUAAUAGAAAAAAUUAAUAUUUUUAUAGUUAAAUAUUACUGUAAAGGAAUUUAUAAAUAAAUGAAAUAAAAUUAAUUAAAAAGUAAAUUUUAAUUGUUGUAUCUUGUGUAUCAGAGUUUAUUAAAUAAUAAUAGUUUAUUUAAAUAAAUCUCGAAUUUAAAAGAGUUAAUUAAUUAAUAAAGUUAAUGUUGAAUAAUUAUUUUAAAUAAUUAAUUAGAAAUGAAAUGUUAAUCGUUUUUAAAUAUAUCUAGUUUUUUCAGAAAAAAAUUUAAUUUUAAAUUUAAAUAAUUUUAUAAUUAUUUAAUUAAUUAUAAAAAUUUGAAUUUUAAUAUUUUAGGGGAUAAGCUUUAAAUUAAAAAUUUAUAAUUAAAUAAUUUAAAAAUUAAAAUUUUUAAAAUUUAUAUUGUUUAAAAAUUAUAAUUUAUUAUAAAAAAUUUUAUUAAAAAAAAAAAUUUAAAAUAAAAAAAAUUUAAAUUUUUAUGAAAAAAUAGUUUAUAAUUAAAUAAAAUUAGAAAUAAUGAUGAAAUUAGUAUAAUAUAAUAAAUUAAAUUAAAUUUAUAAAUAAGUAAAUUGAAGGAAUUCGGCAAAAAUUUAUAUUCACUUGUUUAUCAAAAACAUGUCUUUUUGAUAAUAAUUUAAAGUCUAAUCUGCCCACUGAUAUAAAUAUUAAAGGGCUGCAGUAUAUUGACUGUACAAAGGUAGCAUAAUCAUUAGUCUUUUAAUUGAAGACUUGUAUGAAAGAUUUGAUGAAAUAUAAACUGUCUCUAAUUUAUUAUUAGAAAUUAAUUUUUUAGUUAAAAAGCUAAAAUAAUAUUAAAAGACGAGAAGACCCUAUAGAGUUUUAUAUUUUAUUUAUUUAAUAUUAAAUAUAUAAUUAAAUUAUAUGAAAUAAAUAAAAUAUUGUAUUGGGGUGAUAGAAAAAUUUAAUAAACUUUUUUUAAAAAAUGAACAUAAAUAAGUGAUUAAUUGAUCCAUUAAUAAUGAUUAAAAGAAAAAAUUACCUUAGGGAUAACAGCGUAAUAUUUUUUUUUAGUACAAAUAAGAAAAAAAGUUUGCGACCUCGAUGUUGGAUUAAGAUAAAAUUUAAAUGCAAAAGUUUAAAAUUUUGAUCUGUUCGAUCAUUAAAAUCUUACAUGAUCUGAGUUCAAACCGGUGUAAGCCAGGUUGGUUUCUAUCUUUAAUAAAAUAAAAUAUUUUAGUACGAAAGGAUCAAAUAUUUAAAAUAAUUUUAUUUAAUUGAAUAUUAAUAAUAUUAUUUU
rnacentral:rRNA from 1 species